GUGAGGAAUAUUGGUCAAUGGGCGGGAGCCUGAACCAGCCAAGUCGCGUGAAGGAAGAAGGAUCUAUGGUUCGUAAACUUCUUUUGCAGGGGAAUAAAGUGCAGGACGUGUCCUGUUUUGUAUGUACCCUGAGAAUAAGGAUCGGCUAACUCCGUGCCAGCAGCCGCGGUAAUACGGAGGAUCCGAGCGUUAUCCGGAUUUAUUGGGUUUAAAGGGUGCGUAGGUGGUUUGAUAAGUCAGCGGUGAAAGUUUGCAGCUUAACUGUAAAAAUGCCGUUGAAACUGUCGGACUUGAGUGUAAAUGAGGUAGGCGGAAUGCGUGGUGUAGUGGUGAAAUGCAUAGAUAUCACGCAGAACUCCGAUUGCGAAGGCAGCUUACUAAGCUACAACUGACACUGAAGCACGAAAGCGUGGGGAUCAAACAGGAUUAGAUACCCGGGUAGUCC
rnacentral:rRNA from 1 species